rnacentral:rRNA from 1 species
UACGUAGGGUGCGAGCGUUAAUCUGAAUUACUGGGCGUAAAGCGUGCGCAGGCGGCUUUGCAAGACAGAUGUGAAAUCCCCGGGCUCAACCUGGGAACUGCAUUUGUGACUGCAAGGCUAGAGUACGGCAGAGGGGGAUGGAAUUCCGCGUGUAGCAGUGAAAUGCGUAGAUAUGCGGAGGAACACCAAUGGCGAAGGCAAUCCCCUGGGCCUGUACUGACGCUCAUGCACGAAAGCGUGGGGAGCAAACAGG